rnacentral:rRNA from 1 species
UACCAGCACCCGAGUGGUCGGACGAUUAUUGGCCUAAAGCAUCCGUAGCCGGCCUUACAAGUCCUCCGUUAAUCCAGCUGCUUAACAGAUGGCUGCGAGGAUACUAUAAGACUAGGAGGCAGGAGAGGCAAGCGGUACUCAGUGUAGGUAAUCCGUUGAUCCAUUGAAGACCACCAGUGGCGAAGGCGGCUUGCCAGCAAUGCGCUCGACGGUGAGAUGAAGCUGGAGCAACCGG